UGGGCUAUUAUCUGGAUGAUCUUGAGGAGUAGUUUUCCAUAGAUAUGAUCAAGUAGGUCAUACAUGGGCUCAUGUAACGUUAUUGCUGAAAUAACAUCAAGGUGUUCCAGCAUUCCAGAGGAUGACCAAAGACAUCCAACACCUAGAGCGCACUGCACUGGCCACCUAGCUGAACAUGCCUGAACGUCCACAGAACACAACACUAUCCGCCACUUCCUCAAGAUCACAAUGUCAAAAUUAUUCUGUCAUUAUCUUAAGUAAUGGAACCUGUAUGCAGCAUGCUGUAUACAUGAUUUAUGAAAGUUUGUUUUAUGAUUGAAAAUGAUCAAAGGGGGGAUUGAAAGAUUAUGUGUAUUUUCAUUAUCUUUAGUUAGAUGCAUUUACAUUGUGACUGUGUCUCAGAUGCAAUCAACUCUGUCUGUGUCUGUAAAGGUGUGAACCAAAUGGCCCAUACAGACGUGUGGCCCACAGAAACUGAUGGGUGUGAAUGACAAAGAAACAGCAUUGCUUAGAAUAGAUUGCAGGGUAGAUCGAUCUCCUGUGGGAGGUCCUAACAAUUUUCUAUUGUUUGUAGCCCUUUUGUCUUCAUGUAUAAAGUUCUGUCCCACAGACAGAACUUUGGGUUAAGAUCUUUUGAAGGCCGACACGCUGACAUUGAUGCUGAAGAACUGUGCUACACUACUACCUUCAAUAAAUUCUUCUCCCCACAAGAACUCUGGUCAAGCUUACUUAUUUUAUGUAUUAGAGAAAUCUAAUACAUUGGCGAGCCACCACAAACGACUGCUCAGCCAAAUAUAGCAAAAUC